AUACGGAGGAUCCGAGCGUUAUCCGGAUUUAUUGGGUUUAAAGGGUGCGCAGGCGGGAGAUUAAGUCGGCGGUGGAAUUUUGCAGCUCAACUGGAAAAGGGCCUUCGAAACUGGUUUCCUUGAGGGUAGAAGAAGGAGGCGGAAUUUUGGGGGUAGCGGGGCAAUGCAUAGAUAUCACGAGGAACUCCGAUUGCGCAGGCAGCUUACUAAACUACUACUGACGCUCAGGCACGAAGGCGUGGGGAUCAAACAGGAUUAGAUACCCUGGUAGUCCACGCAGUAAACGAUGAUUACUAGCUGUUUGCGAUACAAUGUAAGCGGCUGAGCGAAAGCGUUAAGUAAUCCACCUGGGGAGUACGUUCGCAAGAAUGAAACUCAAAUGAAUUGGCGGGG
rnacentral:rRNA from 1 species